GUCUACAGCCAUACCACCCUGAAUGCACUAAUUUUGUCUGAUCUUGGAAGUUAAGCAAGGUUGGGCCUGGUCAGUACUUAGAUAGGAGAAAAAUUGAGAAUAAUUUCUAUUAAAUAUU
ensembl:rRNA 5S_rRNA 5S ribosomal RNA